rnacentral:rRNA from 1 species
GACGAACGCUGGCGGCGUGCUUAACACAUGCAAGUCGAACGGAAAGGCCCUGCUUUUGUGGGGUGCUCGAGUGGCGAACGGGUGAGUAACACGUGAGUAACCUGCCCUUGACUUUGGGAUAACUUCAGGAAACUGGGGCUAAUACCGGAUAGGAGCUCCUGCUGCAUGGUGGGGGUUGGAAAGUUUCGGCGGUUGGGGAUGGACUCGCGGCUUAUCAGCUUGUUGGUGGGGUAGUGGCUUACCAAGGCUUUGACGGGUAGCCGGCCUGAGAGGGUGACCGGCCACAUUGGGACUGAGAUCCGGCCCAGACUCCUACGGGAGGCAGCAGUGGGGAAUAUUGCACAAUGGGCGGAAGCCUGAUGCAGCAACGCCGCGUGCGGGAUGACGGCCUUCGGGUUGUAAACCGCUUUCGCCUGUGACGAAGCGUGAGUGACGGUAAGGGGUAAAGAAGCACCGGCUAACUCCG